GCCUGACGACCAUAGCGAGCGUGUCCCACCUGAUCCCAUGCCGAACUCAGCAGUGAAACCGCUUAGCGCCGAUGGUAGUGUGGGGCUUCCCCAUGCGAGAGUAGGUCAUCGUCAGGCA
rnacentral:rRNA from 1 species